CCUACGGGUGGCUGCAGUGGGGAAUAUUGGACAAUGGGGGGAACCCUGAUCCAGCCAUGCCGCGUGUGUGAAGAAGGCCCUCGGGUUGUAAAGCACUUUCAGUGAGGAAGAACGCCUGGUGGUUAAUACCCAUCAGGAAAGACAUCACUCACAGAAGAAGCACCGGCUAACUCCGUGCCAGCAGCCGCGGUAAUACGGAGGGUGCGAGCGUUAAUCGGAAUUACUGGGCGUAAAGCGCGCGUAGGUGGCUGAUAAGCCGGUUGUGAAAGCCCCGGGCUCAACCUGGGAACGGCAUCCGGAACUGUCAAGCUAGAGUGCAGGAGAGGAAGGUAGAAUUCCCGGUGUAGCGGUGAAAUGCGUAGAGAUCGGGAGGAAUACCAGUGGCGAAGGCGGCCUUCUGGACUGACACUGACACUGAGGUGCGAAAGCGUGGGUAGCAAACAGGAUUAGAUACCCGAGUAGUC
rnacentral:rRNA from 1 species